rnacentral:rRNA from 1 species
AUUGAACGCUCGCGGGAUGCUUUACACAUGCAAGUCGAACGGCAGCGCGGACUUCGGUCUGGCGGCGAGUGGCGAACGGGUGAGUAAUGUAUCGGAACGUGCCCAGUAGCGGGGGAUAACUACGCGAAAGCGUAGCUAAUACCGCAUACGCCCUACGGGGGAAAGCAGGGGAUCGUAAGACCUUGCACUAUUGGAGCGGCCGAUAUCGGAUUAGCUAGUUGGUGAGGUAACGGCUCACCAAGGCGACGAUCCGUAGCUGGUUUGAGAGGACGACCAGCCACACUGGGACUGAGACACGGCCCAGACUCCUACGGGAGGCAGCAGUGGGGAAUUUUGGACAAUGGGGGCAACCCUGAUCCAGCCAUCCCGCGUGUGCGAUGAAGGCCCUCGGGUUGUAAAGCACUUUUGGCAGGAAAGAAACGUCGCGGGCUAAUACCCCGUGGAACUGACGGUACCUGCAGAAUAAGCACCGGCUAACUACGUG